CGCGGAUGUAGGACCGACCCGGGGACCGCCGGGGCAACCCGGCGCCCCCGAGACGGGGCGAACCACGGUGAAAAUGACGGAUCGUCGGCCCCGCGCCGGCGACUCGCCGAAUGAGUUUCUGACCUAUCAACUCGAGACGGCGGGGUAGAGGCCCGCCGCGGUAACGACGGGUAACGGGGAAUCAGGGUUCGAUUCCGGAGAGGGGAGCCCGAGAAACGGCUACCACUUCCAAGGAAGGCAGCAGGCGCGCAACUUACCCUAAUCUCGAUUCGAGGAGGUAGUGACAAGAAAUACCGAUGCGGGGACCCCUACGGGGUGCCGCGUUUCGGAAUGAGUACGAUUCGAACCACCUAACGAGGAACGAUCGGAGGGCAAGUCUGGUGCCAGCAGCCGCGGUAAUUCCAGCUCCAAUAGCGUACGUUAAAGUUGCUGCAGUUAAAAAGCUCGUAGUUGAACGUUCGGGUUCCGCGGGACGGGGCCGCCCCGCGAGGGACGGCGCCGCCCCGGGGCUCGUGAUAUCUCAUCUCGCCGCCCGUCGCGAGGCGGACGGAGGGAUGGAUGAGGUUACCUGGAAAAAAUCGGGGC
rnacentral:rRNA from 1 species